rnacentral:rRNA from 1 species
GGAUCAUUAAAGAGUCUAAAAACUCCCAACCCAUGUGGACUUACCUAUUGUUGCCUCGGCAGGUCGCGCCGGGUGUCUCCCCCCGUCAAAAGGGGGUGGCCCGCGCGCGGUUCAGCCUGCCGCCGGCCCACUAAACUCUGUUUUCUACUGAAACUCUGAAUAAAAAACAAAUAAGUUAAAACUUUCAACAACGGAUCUCUUGGUUCUGGCAUCGAUGAAGAACGCAGCGAAAUGCGAUAAGUAAUGUGAAUUGCAGAAUUCAGUGAAUCAUCGAAUCUUUGAACGCACAUUGCGCCCAUUAGUAUUCUAGUGGGCAUGCCUGUUCGAGCGUCAUUUCAACCCUUAAGCCUCGUUGCUUAGUGUUGGGAGCCUACGGUGACGUAGCUCCCCAAAGUCAGUGGCGGGGUCGGUUAGCACUCUUGGCGUAGUAAUUUAAUCUCGCUAAGGACCUGAUCGCCCCUUGCCGUUAAACACCCCACUUUUUAAGGUUGACCUCGGAUCAGGUAGGAAUACCCGCUGAACUUAAGCAUAUCAAUAAGCGGAGGAAAAGAAACCAACAGGGAUUGCCCCAGUAACGGCGAGUGAAGCGGCAACAGCUCAAAUUUGAAAUCUGGCCCCCGGGUCCGAGUUGUAAUUUGUAGAGGAUGCUUUUGGCGCGGUGCCUUCCGAGUUCCCUGGAAUGGGACGCCUUAGAGGGUGAGAGCCCCGUACGGUCGGACACCAAGCCUAUGUAAAGCUCCUUCGACGAGUCGAGUAGUUUGGGAAUGCUGCUCUAAAUGGGAGGUAAAUUUCUUCUAAAGCUAAAUAUUGGCCAGAGACCGAUAGCGCACAAGUAGAGUGAUCGAAAGAUGAAAAGCACUUUGAAAAGAGGGUUAAAUAGCACGUGAAAUUGUUGAAAGGGAAGCGCUUGCGACCAGACCUUUUCCCGGCGGAUCAUCCGGCGUUCUCGCCGGUGCACUUCGCCGGGUCGAGGCCAGCAUCGGUUUCUGCAGGGGGAUAAAAGCUCGGGGAACGUGGCUCCUUCGGGAGUGUUAUAGCCCCUUGCAUAAUACCCU